rnacentral:tRNA from 1 species
GGCCUAUCAGCUUAAUCGGUCGAGCACUCCUCUAGCUAAGGAGAAGAUCCGGGUUCGAGUCCCGGGUGGGCCU